rnacentral:rRNA from 1 species
GGGAAAGGGGGGGAUCGCAAGACCUCUCACUAUUAGAGCGGCCGAUAUCGGAUUAGCUAGUUGGUGGGGUAAAGGCCCACCAAGGCGACGAUCCGUAGCUGGUUUGAGAGGACGACCAGCCACACUGGGACUGAGACACGGCCCAGACUCCUACAGGAGGCAGCAGUGGGGAAUUUUGGACAAUGGGGGAAACCCUGAUCCAGCCAUUCCGCGUGUGCGAUGAAGGCCUUCGGGUUGUAAAGCACUUUUGGCAGGAAAGAAAUCGCACAAAUUAAUACUUUGUGUGGAUGACGGUACCUGCAGAAUAAGCACCGGCUAACUACGUGCCAGCAGCCGCGGUAAUACGUAGGGUGCAAGCGUUAAUCGGAAUUACUGGGCGUAAAGCGUGCGCAGGCGGUUCGGAAAGAGAGGUGUGAAAUCCCAGGGCUUAACCUUGGAACUGCACUUUUAACUCCCGAGCUAGAGUAUGUCAGAGGGGGGUGGAAUUCCGCGUGUAGCAGUGAAAUGCGUAGAUAUGCGGAGGAACACCGAUGGCGAAGGCAGCCCCCUGGGAUAAUACUGACGCUCAUGCACGAAAGCGUGGGGAGCAAACAGGAUUAGAUACCCUGGUAGUCCACGCCCUAAACGAU